rnacentral:rRNA from 1 species
UGGGGAAUAUUGGACAAUGGGCGAAAGCCUGAUCCAGCCAUGCCGCGUGUGUGAAGAAGGUCUUCGGAUUGUAAAGCACUUUAAGUUGGGAGGAAGGGCAGUAAGCGAAUACCUUGCUGUUUUGACGUUACCGACAGAUUAAGCACCGGCUAACUCUGUGCCAGCAGCCGCGGUAAUACAGAGGGUGCAAGCGUUAAUCGGAAUUACUGGGCGUAAAGCGCGCGUAGGUGGUUCGUUAAGUUGAAUGUGAAAGCCCCGGGCUCAACCUGGGAACUGCAUCCAAAACUGGCGAGCUAGAGUAGGGCAGAGGGUGGUGGAAUUUCCUGUGUAGCGGUGAAAUGCGUAGAUAUAGGAAGGAACACCAGUGGCGAAGGCGACCACCUGGGCUCAUACUGACACUGAGGUGCGAAAGCGUGGGGAGCAAACAGG